rnacentral:rRNA from 1 species
GUGAGGAAUAUUGGACAAUGGGCGCAAGCCUGAUCCAGCAAUGCCGCGUGCAGGAAGAAGGCCUUCGGGUUGUAAACUGCUUUUGUACGGAACGAAACGGUUCUGGUUAAUACCCGGGGCUAAUGACGGUACCGUAAGAAUAAGCACCGGCUAACUACGUGCCAGCAGCCGCGGUAAUACGUAGGGUGCAAGCGUUAAUCGGAAUUACUGGGCGUAAAGCGUGCGCAGGCGGUUGUGUAAGACAGGCGUGAAAUCCCCGGGCUCAACCUGGGAAUUGCGCUUGUGACUGCACGGCUGGAGUGCGGCAGAGGGGGAUGGAAUUCCGCGUGUAGCAGUGAAAUGCGUAGAUAUGCGGAGGAACUCCGAUGGCGAAGGCAAUCCCCUGGGCCUGCACUGACGCUCAUGCACGAAAGCGUGGGGAGCAAACAGGAUUAGAAACCCGUGUAGUCC